rnacentral:rRNA from 1 species
CGCAAGGGGCGUGGCGUAAGGGUGAGUAAGGCGACGGUAACCAACCCCGAGGCCGGGCAUAGCCGAGCGAAAGUUCGGGUAAUACCCGGCGACGUCGUUGGGGGGCAUCCCCUGGGGACGAAAGGUGCGAUUCCGCCUCGGGACGGGCCGUCGUGGUAUCAGCUUGUUGGUGGGGUAAUGGCCCACCAAGGCUGCGACGCCUACCGGGCGUGCGAGCGUGGCCCGGCACACUGGGACUGAGACACUGCCCAGACACCUACGGGUGGCUGCAGUCGAGAAUCUUCGGCAAUGGGCGCAAGCCUGACCGAGCGACGCCGCGUGGAGGACGAAGGCCUUCGGGUUGUAAACUCCUGUCGAGGGGGAACAAGGGGCGACGAAGAGUCGUCCUUGAGUGAUCCCUGGAGGAAGCACGGGCUAAGUUCGUGCCAGCAGCCGCGGUAAGACGAACCGUGCGAACGUUAUUCGGAAUCACUGGGCUUAAAGCGCGUGUAGGCGGCCCGGCACGUCCGUUGUUGAAAGCCCCCGGCUCAACCGGGGAAGCGGCGCGGAUACGACCGGGCUGGAGGGAGGUAGGGGGAUCGGGAACUUCCGGUGGAGCGGUGAAAUGCGUUGAGAUCGGAAGGAACGCCCGUGGCGAAAGCGCGGUCCUG